rnacentral:rRNA from 1 species
GAUGAACGCUAGCGGCAGGCUUAAUACAUGCAAGUCGAGGGGCAGCGCGGGUAGCAAUACCUGGCGGCGACCGGCAAACGGGUGCGGAACACGUACGCAACCUUCCCAUAACUGGUGAAUAGCCCUCCGAAAGGAGGAUUAAUACACCGUAAGAUAACGAAGAGGCAUCUCUUUGUUAUUAUAGCUACGGCGGUUUUGGAUGGGCGUGCGCCUGAUUAGGUAGUUGGCGGGGUAACGGCCCACCAAGCCUACGAUCAGUAACUGGUGUGAGAGCACGACCAGUCACACGGGCACUGAGACACGGGCCCGACUCCUACGGGAGGCAGCAGUAAGGAAUAUUGGUCAAUGGACGCAAGUCUGAACCAGCCAUGCCGCGUGAAGGAUGAAGGUCCUCUGGAUUGUAAACUUCUUUUAUCUGGACGAAAAAGGGCUUUCUAGCUCACUUGACGGUACCAGAGGAAUAAGCACCGGCUAACUCCGUG